rnacentral:rRNA from 1 species
GUGGGGAAUAUUGGACAAUGGGGGGAACCCUGAUCCAGCCAUGCCGCGUGUGUGAAGAAGGCCUUUUGGUUGUAAAGCACUUUAAGCGAGGAGGAGGCUACCGAGAUUAAUACUCUUGGAUAGUAGACGUUACUCGCAGAAUAAGCACCGGCUAACUCUGUGCCAGCAGCCGCGGUAAUACAGAGGGUGCAAGCGUUAAUCGGAAUUACUGGGCGUAAAGCGCGCGUAGGUGGUUUUGUAAGUUGGAGGUGAAAUCCCCGGGCUCAACCUGGGAACUGCCUCCAAAACUGCAUGACUAGAGUACGGUAGAGGGUAGUGGAAUUUCCGGUGUAGCGGUGAAAUGCGUAGAGAUCGGGAGGAACAUCCGUGGCGAAGGCGGCCAUCUGGACCAGCACUGACACUGAGGCACGAAAGCGUGGGGAGCAAACAGGAUUAGAAACCCUUGUGUCC